rnacentral:rRNA from 1 species
UGCANGUCGAGGGGUAUAGUUCUUCGGAGCUAGAGACCGGCGCACGGGUGCGUAACGCGUAUGCAAUCUACCUUUUACAGGGGGAUAGCCCAGAGAAAUUUGGAUUAAUACCUCAUAGUAUGUGAGAAUCGCAUGGUUUUCACAUUAAAGUUCCAACGGUAAAAGAUGAGCAUGCGUCCCAUUAGCUAGAUGGUAAGGUAACGGCUUACCAUGGCGACGAUGGGUAGGGGUCCUGAGAGGGAGAUCCCCCACACUGGUACUGAGACANGGNACCAGACUNNUACGGGAGGCAGCAGUGAGGAAUAUUGGACAAUGGGCGCAAGCCUGAUCCAGCCAUGCCGCGUGCAGGAUGACGGUCCUAUGGAUUGUAAACUGCUUUUGUACAGGAAGAAACACUCCCUCGUGAGGGAGCUUGACGGUACUGUAAGAAUAAGGAUCGGCUAACUCCGUGCCAGCAGCCGCGGUAAUACNGGAGGAUCCAAGCGUUAUCCGGAAUCAUUGGGUUUNAAGGGGUCCGUAGGCGGNUUAAUAAGUCAGUGGUGAAAGCCCAUCGCUCAACGGUGGAACGGCCAUUGAUACUGNUNAACUUGNAUUAUUAGGAAGUAACUAGAAUAUGUAGUGUANCGGUGAAAUGCUUAAAGAUUAAUGGNAUACCNAUUGCGA